rnacentral:lncRNA from 1 species
AAAAAAAAAAAAAAAACCUCAAAGUCCAACAGCAGCUCUGUUCCUCCAUGAAACCACCUCGGGAACAGUUAACAACGCCUGUCCACAGCUCAGAUAAAGACCUCUUAACAACCCCUAAGGCAUUCAUUCCAGCUGUGAGCCUGACAGAUGUGUUUCCAGUAACCUGUGCUGCCUCCCUCAAAUCUGUGCUCCAGUCCAGGAUCACUUAGGUACCCAGAAGCUCCAGAAGCAGCUCAGCUUGCUUAUCCUAUGCCAAACACAUUCUUCUCUCUCUCUCUCUCUCUCUCUCUCUCUCUCAGAUUUAUUUAUUUUUUGCUGUCAAUCAAGAAAAAAUUUUUAUUAGAUAUUUUCUUUAUUUACAUUUCAAAUAUUAUCCCUGUUCCUGGUUUCCCCUCUGAAAACUGACUAUCCCCUCCCCACUCCCCCUGCUCACCAACCCACC